CUCCGGCCCCCUCCUUUACCUCAGGGCCCCCCUCCUCCCUUGGCUGGGAAAUGCAAUUUGUGUUUCAUAUGCAUUAUUCUUGAAUAACUUUUUUGUUUUUGAGGUGGUAAUCUCCUUUUCAACAGGUUUAAACACGUUUUACUCAGGAGGAUUGGUUCAUUAGGGUCAACAGGUUUAAACACGUUUUACUCAGGAGGAUUGGUUCAUUAGGGUCAACAGGAUUAAACACGUUUUACUCAGGAGGAUUGGUUCAUUAGGGUCAACAGGUUUAAACACGUUUUACUCAGGAGGAUUGGUUCAUUAGGGUCAACAGGAUUAAACAAACAUUGAAUAAGGAGCUCAAAAAUUGUCUUCUUGAACUUUAAAAUCCUUCUGG